UCAACUUGAGAGUUUGAUCCUGGCUCAGAACGAACGCUGGCGGCAGGCCUAACACAUGCAAGUCGAGCGAGACCUUCGGGUCUAGCGGCGGACGGGUUAGUAACGCGUGGGAACGUGCCCUUCUCUGCGGAAUAGCCACUGGAAACGGUGAGUAAUACCGCAUACGCCCUUCGGGGGAAAGAUUUAUCGGAGAAGGAUCGGCCCGCGUUAGAUUAGAUAGUUGGUGGGGUAA
rnacentral:rRNA from 1 species